rnacentral:snRNA from 10 species
GUACUUGCUUUGGCAGCACAAUACUAAAAUUGGAAAGAUACAGAGAAGAUUAGCAGGCCCCUGUGCAAGGAUGACACACAAAUUCAUGAAGUAUUUAUAUUAAAA